GACAGAGGGGGCAAGCGUUGCUCGGAAUUACUGGGCGUAAAGGGCUCGUAGGUGGCCAACUAAGUCAGACGUGAAAUCCCUCAGCUUAACUGGGGAACUGCGUCUGAUACUGGAUGGCUUGAGUUUGGGAGAGGGAUGCGGAAUUCCAGGUGUAGCGGUGAAAUGCGUAGAUAUCUGGAGGAACACCGGUGGCGAAGGCGGCAUCCUGGACCAACACUGACACUGAGGAGCGAAAGCCAGGGGAGCAAACGGG
rnacentral:rRNA from 1 species